AGGACGAACGCUGGCGGCGUGCUUAACACAUGCAAGUCGAACGGGGUCCAACCAGUCGCAAGACUGGGGAAGACUUAGUGGCGAACGGGUGAGUAACACGUGAGCAACCUGCCCCGAAGACCGGGAUAACAGCGGGAAACCGCUGCUAAUACCGGAUGCCCCCACCGGGCCGCAUGACCUGGUGAGGAAAUGGAUUCCGCUUCGGGAGGGACUCGCGGCCUAUCAGCUUGUUGGUGGGGUAAUGGCCUACCAAGGCGUCGACGGGUAGCUGGUCUGAGAGGACGAUCAGCCACACUGGGACUGAGACACGGCCCAGACUCCUACGGGAGGCAGCAGUGGGGAAUCUUGCGCAAUGGGCGAAAGCCUGACGCAGCAACGCCGCGUGAGGGACGAAGGCCUUCGGGUUGUAAACCUCUUUCAGCAGGGACGAUUGUGACGGUACCUGCAGAAGAAGCCCCGGCAACUACGUGCCAGCAGCCGC
rnacentral:rRNA from 1 species